rnacentral:misc_RNA from 1 species
GAUGAAGAACGCAGCGAAAUGCGAUACGUAAUGUGAAUUGCAGAAUUCAGUGAAUCAUUGAAUCUUUGAACGCAUAUUGCGCUCUCUGGUAUUCCGGAGAGCAUGCUUGUUUGAGUAUCAGUAAACACCUCAACUUCCAUAUCUUUUUUGAAAUGGGAGUUGGACUUGAGUGAUCCCAACGCUUUUCCUCACCGAAAAGUGGCGGGUUACUUGAAAUGCAGGUGCAGCUGGACUUUUCUCUGAGCUAUAAGCAUAUCUAUUUAGUCUGCCUAAAAAACAGAUUAUUACCUUUGCUGCAGCUAACAUAAAGGAGAUUAGUUCUUGUGCUGACUGAUGCAGGAUUCACAAAGACAGGCUUCGGCCGACUUUGUAAACUCGAUCUCAAAUCAAGUAAGACUACCCGCUGAACUUAAGCAUAUCAAUAAGCGGAGGA